GUUUAGCCCUAAACUGUAAUAGUUACAUUAACAAAACCAUUAACCAGAAUACUACAAGCAACAGCUUAAAACUCAAAGGACUUGACGGUGCUUUAUACCCCCC
rnacentral:rRNA from 1 species